rnacentral:rRNA from 1 species
AUUGAACGCUGGCGGCAGGCCUAACACAUGCAAGUCGAACGGUAACAGGAAGCAGCUUGCUGCUUUGCUGACGAGGGGCGGACGGGUGAGUAAUGUCUGGGAAACUGCCUGAUGGAGGGGGAUAACUACUGGAAACGGUAGCUAAUACCGCAUAACGUCGCAAGACCAAAGAGGGGGACCUUCGGGCCGCUUGCCAUCGGCUGAUCCCAGGUUGGAUUAGCUAGUAGGUGGGGUAACGGCUCACCUAGGCGACGAUCCCUAGCUGGUCUGAGAGGAUGACCAGCCACACUGGAACUGAGACACGGUCCAGACUCCUACGGGAGGCAGCAGUGGGGAAUCUUGCACAAUGGGCGAAAGCCUGAUGCAGCCAUGCCGCGUGUAUGAAGAAGGCCUUCGGGUUGUAAAGUACUUUCAGCGGGGAGGAAGGGAGUAAAGUUAAUACCUUUGCUCAUUGACGUUACCCGCAGAAGAAGCCCCGGCUAACUCCGUG